rnacentral:siRNA from 1 species
ACUACGUGGACCAAAUGCCAACCA